UACGUAGGGGGCUAGCGUUGUCCGGAUUUAUUGGGCGUAAAGAGCGUGUAGGCGGCCAGGUAGGUCUGGUGUGAAAACUCGAGGCUUAACCUCGAGAUGUCAUCGGAAACCAUUUGGCUAGAGUCCGGAAGAGGCAAGUGGAAUUCCCGGUGUAGCGGUGAAAUGCGCAGAUAUCGGGAGGAACACCAAUGGCGAAGGCAGCUCGCUGGGACGUGACUGACGCUGAGACGCGAAAGCGUGGGGAGCAAACAGG
rnacentral:rRNA from 1 species